rnacentral:rRNA from 1 species
UACGGGGCGCANCNGGCGCCAAAACUUUACAAUGCUGGCAACAGCGAUAAGGGAACCUCGAGUGCCAGGUUACAAAUCUGGCUGUCGAGAUGCCUAAAAAGCAUUUCAUAGCAAGGGCCGGGCAAGACCGGUGCCAGCCGCCGCGGUAACACCGGCGGCUCGAGUGGUAACCGUUAUUAUUGGGUCUAAAGGGUCUGUAGCCGGCCGGAUAAGUCUCUUGAGAAAUCUGGCAGCUUAACUGUCAGGCUUUCAGGAGAUACUGUCUGGCUCGAGGCCGGGAGAGGUGAGAGGUACUUCAGGGGUAGGGGUGAAAUCUUGUAAUCCUUGAAGGACCACCAGUGGCGAAGGCCUCUCACCAGAACGGACCUGACGGCAAGGGACGAAAGCUAGGGGCACGAACCGGAUUAGAUACCCGGGUAGUCCUAGCCGUAAACGAUACUCGCUAGGUGUCGGCCACGGUGCGACCGUUGUCGGUGCCGUAGGGAAGCCGUGAAGCGAGCCACCUGGGAAGUACGGCCGCAAGNNUGAAACUUAAAGGAAUUGGCGGGGGAGCACCACAACGGGUGGAGCUUGCGGUUUAAUUGGAUUCAACGCCGGAAAUCUUACCGGGACCGACAGCAAUAUGAAGGCCAGGCUGAAGACUUUGCCGGAUUAGCUGAGAGGUGGUGCAUGGCCGUCGUCAGUUCGUACUGUGAAGCAUCCUGUUAAGUCAGGCAACGAGCGAGACCCACGCCCACAGUUGCCAGCGUACUCUCUGGAGUGACGGGUACACUGUGGGGACCGCCGCUGCUAAAGCGGAGGAAGGAAUGGGCAACGGUAGGUCAGUAUGCCCCGAAUAUCCCGGGCUACACGCGAGCUACAAUGGUUGGUACAAUGGGUAUCUANCCCGAAAGGGGACGGGAAUCUCCUAAAACCAAUCUUAGUUCGGAUUGAGGGCUGCAACUCGCCCUCAUGAAGCUGGAAUCCGUAGUAAUCGCGUUUCAACAGAACGCGGUGAAUACGUCCCUGCUCCUUGCACACACCG